rfam:Camelus ferus unplaced genomic scaffold scaffold804, whole genome shotgun sequence.
GAGGGUAUAGCUCAGUGGUAGAGUGCAUGCCUAGCAUGCACGAGGUCCUGGGUUCAAUCCCCAGUACCUCCA